rnacentral:lncRNA from 1 species
UUCCGCCAACAUGAUACGUCGGGGCAUUUCCCGGUGAAUAAAUACAACUGAUCUCGGGGCAUUCCCCGGCUAAAUAAAUACAUCUGAAUUAAACACGAUAAUCUAGAAAGAGACAUUCACACGCACAUUCCAAUAUACCACGAAACACUUAUUCCUAAAUUUUGCCUACCCGGCCUACGUUUGCCUACCCGUUCGACGACAUAUCGCAUUCAACAUCAACAAUGUAUCAAAAAUAUCAUAAUAUUCACUUUUAUCAAUUUUUGAUUCCCGUCCCCAAAUUUAUUUCAAACAAUAUGAUUAAACAUGCUUCGAUUUAUCAAUUCACUUUUCAAAGUCCGAAACCAACAUCAACCAACACAUAACACAUAUUCGAACAUACUAAACACGCAACAAAUAAAUCACCCACACCC